GAUGAACGCUGGCGGCGUGCCUAAUACAUGCAAGUCGAGCGAACGGACGAGAAGCUUGCUUCUCUGAUGUUAGCGGCGGAAGGGUGAGUAACACGUGGAUAACCUACCUAUAAGACUGGGAUAACUUCGGGAAACCGGAGCUAAUACCGGAUAAUAUUUUGAACCGCAUGGUUCAAAAGUGAAAGACGGUCUUGCUGUCACUUAUAGAUGGAUCCGCGCUGCAUUAUCUAGUUGGUAAGGUAACGGCGUACCAAGGCAACGAUGCAUAGCCGACCUGAGAGGGGGAUCGGCCCCCCUGGCAGUGACACACGGUCCAGACUCCUGCGGGAGGCAGCAGCAGGGAAUCGUCAGUAAUGGGCGAAAGCCUGACGGAGCAACGCCGAGUGAGUGAGGAAGGUCUUCGGCUCGUAAAACUCUGUUAGUAGGGAAGAACAUAUGUGUACGUAACUGUGCACAUCCUGACGGUACCUAAUCAGAAAGCCACGGCUAACUUCGUG
rnacentral:rRNA from 1 species